CAGCAUAGUUAGGUUUUCUCAAGGAUCCAGUAGCUUAGUGCAUGCCUUGGGCAGGCCAGAUCCCUGCCUGUAACUUGAAGUUGGACUUCCCCAGUCAGUCAGUAAAAGGAAGAGCAGUCUCAUGCCUUCUCUUCCACAAAGGGCUGUCUCCUUGAGUCAGCCACUGUGAACUAAGACUUUCAGCACUUCCUGUGCUGUAUGAGAGUAAUUAAACACUUAUGCUGGAAGCUACAUUGUAUUCCUGCAUAGCUGAAUUAGCAAAGGAGACAAUGCACGCUGUUUGGACUAGGAGCUAAUCCUGACCUUGCGGGGCUGAGCACAUGCCGCUGGUUCCUGCAGCGUGACCCGAGGGAGCGAUGGGGAGAUGGGCCUGGGUGGUAACACUGUCACCCCAUGACUGUCCGUGUGAUUUGCUGCAGCAGCUGGAGGCCAGUCUCAAGGAGAAAGAAGAGAAAUUUGAAGCUGUCACGACCAGUCUGCAGGAUGCCCAGAAUGAGCUUCAAAGAGAGAAAACAAAAAAUCUACUGCUGGAGAGAAGUAUCAAACAGAGAAUUGCAUCAGUUGAAGAAAAACACCAGAUAACUGCAGCUUCUCUGCAUGAUGAAAACGUUAGCCUGAGACACAAACUAGUAGAAAAGACUGAAGAAGUAUUCAGCAAAAGAUUCCAGGGAAGGAUUUAGGCUCUUAAAAUAAUUCUAGUGAAGAUCUAAUCUGUUCAAUGAAGUCAUCACCUACAUCGGCAUCAUUGCUAAUGCUGAAAUCUAUAAUGCGAUUGUAACAGAAUGAACAUCUCAUUAAAAAAAAGAAUAGCAGUAAAAAAUUGGAGCCUAACAAAGCUUUACUUUCUACUCAGAGCCUGUAUCAUUCCCAAUUCUGUAGUGCAUACUGAUCACAGGAGGUACUACAAAAAUGUUUUUGAGGAGUUGGUCACUUAUCUAGCAAAUUCUUCUUUUGUUAUGCCUAUAACUGAGAUCUGAAGGCCAGCAAGGUAAGUGAAAACAGGGCAACAGGCCAUCUUCAGACAUGAGGCUGCACCUGAACAGUGGAUUUGAAUGUUAGGACUGCUAUAGGAGGAGGAUACUCUGAAAUACAGAGCACCUCCACAUCCUGUUGAGGAUAUUGGAGGAUGAGCACUUGACUUUGCCUUGAGAUGUACUGAGACUCUAAAACUGAAUGAGUUAAAGGGGAAAAACUAACAAAAAAAACACUGAUGUGAGCUGGUGCAUCCUGUGCUGUGCCUCUGAUAUUACUCUAGCAUCUCUGUUGCUAAGAUAAUCAGUUC